UACGUAGGCAGCGAGCGUUGUUCGGAGUUACUGGGCGUAAAGCGUGCGUAGGCGGUGGUCCAAGUCUGGUGUGAAAUCUCCCGGCUCAACUGGGAGGGUGCGCCGGAAACUGGGCCGCUGGAGUAUGGGAGAGGCAAGCGGAAUUCCAGGUGUAGCGGUGAAAUGCGUAGAUAUCUGGAGGAACACCGGUGGCGAAGGCGGCAUCCUGGACCGGCAUUGACGCUGAGGCGCGAAAGCUAGGGGAGCAAACGGG
rnacentral:rRNA from 1 species